rnacentral:rRNA from 1 species
UUGAACGCUGGCGGCAUGCCUUACACAUGCAAGUCGAACGGUAACGGGCCUUCGGGUGCCGACGAGUGGCGAACGGGUGAGUAAUACAUCGGAACGUGCCCGAUCGUGGGGGAUAACGAGGCGAAAGCUUUUCUAAUACCGCAUACGAUCUACGGAUGAAAGCAGGGGACCGCAAGGCCUUGCGCGGACGGAGCGGCCGAUGGCAGAUUAGGUAGUUGGUGGGAUAAAAGCUUACCAAGCCGACGAUCUGUAGCUGGUCUGAGAGGAUGAUCAGCCACACUGGGACUGAGACACGGCCCAGACUCCUACGGGAGGCAGCAGUGGGGAAUUUUGGACAAUGGGCGCAAGCCUGAUCCAGCCAUGACGCGUGCAGGAUGAAGGCCUUCGGGUUGUAAACUGCUUUUGUACGGAACGAAAAGCCUUCUUUUAAUACAGGAGGGUCAUGACGGUACCGUAAGAAUAAGCACCGGCUAACUACGUG